CAGGAGUAGCUGUCCGGGUCUCUGGCUAGCUCCUGUCCCAACUUCUUUUUCUUCCCUCGACGGUCGGGAGGGAUCACUGGGUGCUACACCGCUGGGGCGUCCCAGGCAGGAGAGACUUCGCUCUCAGAAGCGCCCCCGUGUCAUCCACAACUCCCACGAAAGGAGCUUCCCAAGAGGAGUUUGUUUUACCCGGAAUGGGCUGCAGGAAUUAAUUGCUUACAGAGAGUAAACUUUUGCCCGUUGUUUUUUUGUUUUUUGUGCUUUUUUUAACCAAAGCUUGCAUUUGUGCUCCGCGUAGUUUCUAUUGCAACAGAGCGCUACUCUGCCUUUUCAACUGUGAGACAGAGGAUUGCUGAGGAUUUCUGCCCUCUGGGGCUUCGCGAAUAUCUAUGGCUUCGGACCUGCUAGCGGAAAACGCAAAGUUGCCCAGCUUGGAGAUGGCACCAGGUUCCUUUGCUCUGGCGCUGGAUGCUCCGCUCCGCCACCCACCGCCGCCGUCUCCAUCGAGAAUCUCCUCAAAAUCAAGGGAGUUCUUGACUGUCCCUCUCCAAAUUGGAAGGCGGUUGACUUUGCCGGGAACCGAGUUCCUGAGCGGCAAACGUGGAGUCGCAGAGCGCAGAAGUGAAGAUUUAAUACAAAAGAUGAAACUUGUAGGAUGACCUCUAGCAGCGCUACUCACAGCUCUGAAAUCGAUCCAGAGCAUUCCACAGUGAGCGUUGCGGCUCCCAGGGGCUCCGGACCGGUAACUUCAGGCGCAAGUCUGAAUUUCAGGGAUGAACCUGCUUUGGAUUCUGUUUGAGCCGACUCAGUGCAGAGGCAGUGACAGGGGCUGUGGGUUUAGGGGUGAUGGAUCCAUGAAGGCUGCCACUUGGAGCGAGCAGACAGUUGGCGAUACCCUCCCACUAACUUGCUCCGCUGCUCCGGGCUGUUCACAGACAGACCCACGCGUAAGGAUUUAGAGUGUGUAUGUCCAACGCCCAGACUUAACUUCUGGUGCAAUUAAGGGAAGAGCUUGAAGCUAACCCGCGCAGCUUGCCUGAAGAAGUGAAUAAUGAAAUCGGUGAUGAGGUGCUAAGGAAUAAAAAGAGGCAUUUUGUUUGCGUGUGUAUUAGUUUGCCAGGAUUGAGUUUUUAGGUUUGAUGUCCUAAAAUGUAUCUUCGACAGUGACUCUUUUGCAGCCUUUCAAGAGGAGGAUGUUCGGCAGUAUUUUGGAACCUGGUAUGAAUCUAUACAUUGUCUGCGUGCCGCAAUAUUUGAUGCCUCUUCGAGUUCUAAUUCUUAUUCCUAAUUAAUAAAUGACUGUUCCUGAUAAUGAAGUGGGAAUAAGAAUUAUAAUAAACUAUUUCCAACAAAAGGCCAUCUUUAACUUAUGAUUUCUGAUUGUAUAAGCCUAUCAAUUACCAAUAAAAUAUUCUGCAGACUAUUAGGCAUGAAUUGCAGAGCUGUAAUGAAGAGACUCACUUGGUUCAAGAAAAUUCAGAAUUUAGAGCGACUCCUCUCCAAAAAGGUUGUGACUUCAAAUUCCUUUCUUGGUUGCUGUUGGUAUGCAGGCCACUGUCUGCAACUGAAGUUUCUGUUUAAAGUAAACAUAGGUUAUUUACAUAUUCAUUAACUUUAAUACGUGAAGGGUGCCUUACAGUGGUAGGAAAUGUUGUGGAAAGUCUUGUACCAGCCAUGGCGAAGUCUUUUUACUUGCUUUGAGUUUUUGAUGUAUGCGAUGUGUAUGCAGUAGUGGUAAUCCAUAGCAUAAUAUUCUUGACAUUUAAGCACCCUCAAAAAAAAUAAUAAAAACCUGUAGAUUUAUGGAUCCUGUUCAAAAAAUGGAAGAGGAUAAGGAUCACCCUUUUCCCCCUCGCCUUUUACAUUUUGCUUUUAUGGGGGAAAUUAUUUAACAAACAAGGAGAGCAAACCUCAGGAUCAGAGGAUGUACCCCAUUCCCGCUACCCUUAGGUCUAUCUAUGGAAUUGAAAAGAAACUAUUGAGACUCAAAGAUACUGUCAGAUCCAAGAAUCUGAUUUCACCACCAAAUUAAAAUAACUACAGCAUUAUUCCAGUGUUGUCUAUGUAUUUAUGUUUUCUGAUAAUUGAAUUUGAAAUAUAUGAUAUCUCUUCCAAUGGAAACAUCUUGAUCCUUUUCCCUCCUUAAGAUCAUUUCUCUACAAACUGCCAUUUUCAGAACACCUUUUACUUCUCUAGAGCAUAGCAUUCAGUCUAUUGGUGUACUGUCUUUUCAUAGAUAAAAGCUAUUCUUUCUUUACUGGUAUGCCUUUGCUACUGUACUGUGAGCUCUGAGAGCACGGAUCUUGUCAUUUACAUUGUUGUUCCCCAGAAUCUAUACAGAAUCUAGUACACAAUAAAAUAGAUGUAUAUGAUGAUGAUGAUGAUGAUGAAAGCGACCAUGUAUUGAGUAAUGACUUAAUGACUAUGUAAUGUGAUUUAUGUACAUUAUAUCAGUUGAUCCUGUUUACAACCUGCUUACCUAAAUUUUAUGUCCUCAAAUUACAGGGAGAUUGAGGCUUAUGCAAAUUUACCUAAGGUGACAAAUCUGUUUUGUCACAAUUAAGUAUGGAACCUACACAGUAUCUUUCUGACUCUGAAGCCUGCACUAUUCAUCAUUUUGCUCUGUUCAAAUAGCCAGGUCCCCACAUUUUCAAUUAUUCAAGGCUAAAAGGAAUUUAUAUGUUGUUAAUGCUAAAAAGAGGCAAAUUUAAAAAUGAGUUCCUUACCUCUCAUGCAAUCGAGUCAAUAUCUAUUUGAGUAUCAAAACACAGGACCAGUUUACUUCUCUUAUUGGGUUAAAAUAGGAGAGUGUCUUCUUGGCAUUAUUUUCAUGGGAAUGCCAAAUGCUGAGUUAUGGGUUUCCUUUCAGAGAGGGGAGUCAGGCCAUUGGGAAUUUUAUGGAUAUAGAAAACUUUUUAUUGUUUACUUCCAUGUUGAUACUCUUAUGUAAAACAGAGGAGGCUAUUAUAAAAUCUCAGUUGUGUAAGAUGAAUAAAUUCUAGAGAUCUAUUGUACAAUAAUGUGCCUAUAAUUAACCAUACUGUAUUAUACACUUAAAAAUGUAUUAAGAGGACAGAUCUCAUGUUGGCUAAUUGCCACAAUUUUAAAACUAAUAAAAAUAAAAGCCUCAGAACACAGACAACACUGAAUACAGAAUGACAUAGGAACAUGCCAUAGAAAUGUGUUAUAGUUGUCAAUUUCAACAGCUCAUAUUAUAAAACAUCUUUUAUACCUUGGAUCAUUACAGUACAAAUACAAAAUAUCCAUAUCAUGGAAGAUUAAGCUGCUAUGUAAAAUAAUGAGGAAAUUCUCCUUAAUUGGUAUAAAAAGGUCUCCAUGAUAUUUUUAGGUGAAAAUUGCAAGGUGAAGCAAGGUGUUGUCUCCAAAAAUUAAUAAAAUUGGUUGGGGUCAUGGUGUAAGUGGGCAGAUGGUAUCAAAGGUAGAGGUUAGACUUUUUAUGUUCUUUUGAUUUUGGAACCGUGUGUAAGUUUUACCUUAUAAAAUAAAAGAGUGCCUUUGAGGGGUUGCAUGGAAAGAAAAGUAUAACAGAUGUAUCUCCGCCUUUUACUUAAAAAAGAUGUUUGUUGCUGUUGUUGUUGUUGUUUUUAAAAAGGGUAGGUGAAAGUUGUGAAAUAACCUGGCCUGCAAUACAUUUGCUCAUUUACUCCUGCCAGGGAGAGACCUUGAGGGAAAGAAGCAAAAAGGGGUUUCUUAGUUCAGACUACUGUAACAAAAUACCACCGCAUGGGUAGCUUAAAUAGUAGGAAUGUAUUUCUCACAGUUCUGGAGUUCUGUGAGAAACAUUUUUCACAGUUCUUGGAAGGCCAAGAUUAAGAUGCUAGCCAAUUUGGUUCUUGGUGAUGGCUCUUUUCCUAGCCUGCAUACAGCUGCCUUCUAACUAUGUCCUCACAUGGCCUUUUCUCAGUGUGUGUUGGGGGGAAGAGAGAAAAAGAAACAGAGACAUUUCAGCCACAGUUUAUAUAGCAACUAAUCCUAUCAUGAAGGUCCCACUCACAUGACCUGUCUAACCCUAAUUACCUCCCAAAGGUCUCAUCUCUACACACCACCACAUUAGAUGUUAGAGCUUCAGCACAUGAAUUUGGGGUGGGAAGAAGGUACAACGUUUAGUCCAUAACAAGUGAGCAGGUCUAAUCUCCUUGUCAAUUCUACCUCCCCUGGGUAAAUAGACUAAUGGUAUUUGCUAGAAGGAAGAGGGUUGUCUUUGGGCCCUUAGUAGGAUAUCUGACUAAGGAUUACCUAUAAUAGAUAGAACCAGAAUUUAUAAGGGAUGGCUUCCUGGAAAAUGGCAUAUAGUGUUUGCAGUGCUGGGGUAUAAAAUGGAGAUGUUUUAUAAUUGAAGCAUUACCAACUGUAUGAGGAACCAUGCACGCCUCACUUGGAGGCUUUAUGUAUUCUGGGCUAAAGAGAUGUGGCUUUCACAGGAAAGAAAGACCUGCAGAGCCAUUAUUUUGAAACUUUUGAUAAGCCUUUUGUUUGUACCUUUGAAAUUAUUUAGUUUAGGCUAAUACUGCUUAUGAUCUCUGAUUCAUGUUAGUCUGAUUUGAGAAAUUCACUCUUAAGAAAUAGCGUGAAAAAUGGCUUAAUUCAAAAAGUAAGCAACUUAAAUGACACCUUUUAGGUACCAGAAAUACUCUAGGAGAACUAGAUUUAUUUAUUCACUUAAUCCUAACAACAAAUCUAAUAAUAAUUAUCUUCAUUGUAUAGAUGAAGAAACAGUCACAGAAAAGUCAAAAAGCCUUGCCAAGGUCACAUAGCUGCUUAAGUGGUACAGUCAGGGUUUAAACCGUGGCUGUCUAACAUUAGAUCACAGCUUUUUAACCUACACCAGAAGGUUCUAUAUUAGCUAUAAGGUCUGUUAGAACAGGGACUUGGCUUUACUGUUGAUUACAGGCUCAACAGGCCAAAAACGGUACAUGGAUCCUGACUGGAUAAAAACCAUGGACAGUAGCGAGACAACUUAGUAUACCUGUUUGCCACACACUGUGCUAAUUGCGUUAUGUAUGUUACCUUGUUGAAUUUUUUUUUUUUUUUUUUGGGACAUAGUCUCACUGUGUCACCCAGGCUGGAGUGUAGUGGUGUGAUCUCCACUCACUGCAACCUUUGCCUCCCGGGUUCAAGUGAUUCUCCUGCUUCAGCCUCCCAAGUAGCUGGGAUUACAGGCACCCACCACCACACCCAGCUAAUUUUUGUAUUUUUUGGUAGGGAUGGGGUUUCACCAUGUUGACCAGGCUGAUCUCGAACUCCUGACCAUGUGAUCCACAUGCCUUGGCCUCCCAAAGUGCUGGGAUUACGGACAUGAGCCACCAAACCCAGCCUUUUAUUGAAUUUUUAAAACAACUCCAUGGCUUAGGCAAUGUUAUUAUUACUCUGCUAAUGAUCAACAUGAAGUUAAUUGUUUCCUCAAAGUCUCGCAGUGGUUCAGUACAGAAACAGAAUCUCAACUCAGUACCAUUAUGCCACAUUGCUUUUAACCUAAACUAUUAUUUUAUACAAUAAUAUUAUGUUGUAAUUAAGUCUCUUGCUUACAAUUCUGUCAUUAUUCUAGUGUUCAAAACACAUGCUACAAUGAAAUAAACAGAUCAAACAUAGAGUCUGAAUAAAUAUCUUUCAAAGCAGUGGAGUGUUUUGCUGAAGAAACUACUCAAGUGUCAGUGAUUUACCACUUGUCAUCCUCCUAAUAUAAGUGGGUGUCCUGGUGACUAUUUCUGAUAUUUUUUUGACAAGGGAGGAAAUCAGACAAGGUAGUGUGGUCAGGAAAAGAAUCAUAAAUUUUCCUUUCUUUUUACAACAACUUUGGCCC
rnacentral:lncRNA from 1 species